GAGAGAGAGCGGGCACGGCAGGCAGAGUGUUGCGGUUCAGAGUUCAUACCGUCGCUAGACAGCGUACCGCGUCGUCUCAGCUCGUCUGCACGACUGUUAUAUAAAACGCACAGGCACAGAUCUCUCUCCUCGUCCCUCACCCCCACGUCGGCAUUCAGCAGUCAGCAAGUAACACGAGAGUGCUAGCUCCCUUCUCCAGCUAGCCGUGUGGCUCGCUCUUCAGAUCGCUGAUCUCAGGCAAGAUUAGCCUGCCCGCCCCCAAUGGCUUCUUCCUCUGCCGCUUUCGCAAUCCUCCUCUUCUUCUUCGCCGUCGCGGUGCAGUCCGCUCGCGGUGGCCAUCAGCUGGCGUGCGAGGAGCUGCCGCCGGACGCGUGCGCGUUCGCGGUGUCGUCGGGCGGGAGGCGGUGCGUGCUGGAGCGCACGCCCGAGGGCGCGCACCGGUGCCAGACGUCGGCGGUGGUGGGCAUGCAGAUGCAGGGCGGGUGGGUCGAGACUCGAGACCGACGCGUGCGUGCGCGCCUGCGGGGUCGACCGCGCCGCGCUGGGCCUCCCCGUCGCCAGCGCCGCGGCCGAGGACCGCCGCGCCUUCCGCGCGCUCUGCUCGCCGGCGUGCCGGGACGGGUGCCCCAACGUCGUCGACCUCUAAGCCACCCUUGCCGCGGCUGAAGGUGUGUCACUGCCGGCGCUGUGCGAGGCGGAGAAGAAGGCUGGGAACCGCCGCAUGAUGACUGGGAAGGCCCCGCUCGGUGCUCCUGUCGCCGCUCCGGAGGCUGCGCCAGCUCCGUGUGAAGAAUGAUGUAGGCUCGAUUUGUACUGCAGCUUCAGUAGUUGAUGCACACCGUGUUUGGGAUAUGUGUACCACACCCAGAUAGUUUGCAUUAUUUUUUAUGAAAUAAAGCUGUACGGGUAUUGUUUGUUGUUC